GAUGGCUCAGUUGGUAGAGCAUGAGACCCUUAAUCUCAGGGAUGUGAAUUUGAGCCCCAUUGCA